CAGUAGCCGCGGUAAAACGUAGGGUGCGAGCGUUAAUCGGAAUUACUGGGCGUAAAGCGUGCGUAGGCGGUUUGUUAAGUCUGUUGUGAAAUCCCCGGGCUCAACCUGGGAAUGGCAAUGGAUACUGGCAAGCUAGAGUGUGUCAGAGGAUGGUGGAAUUCCCGGUGUAGCGGUGAAAUGCGUAGAGAUCGGGAGGAACAUCAGUGGCGAAGGCGGCCAUCUGGGACAACACUGACGCUGAGGCACGAAAGCGUGGGGAGCAAACAGGAUUAGAUACCCCGGUAGUCCCUGUCUCUUAUAC
rnacentral:rRNA from 1 species